rnacentral:tRNA from 1 species
AAGGAUUUAAGUUAAGAAAACUAAUAGCCUUCAAAGCUAUAAUUGGAAAAUUAUAUUCUAAGCCUUA